rnacentral:lncRNA from 1 species
AUGAGUAUGUUAUCUGCAGUGGUUGCAAGAGCCUGGAUAAAACGCCUGGAUACAAUUCUUUUAAAGGAGAGUCGUCUUUUCUUCCUCAGAUAUCAUGAGAAGCUUUGGAGCUAAAUUUAAAGAUAGUGAAAUUCUAGCCCAAAAGAACGUUUAGGUUCUCCGUGUAAACAUUUAGAAGUUGGAAUAUCUUACUUAUUACAUAAUGUCUUG